rnacentral:lncRNA from 1 species
CUCAUCUUCUCAAUUCAUUGCAUUGAGCAUUCCAUGAGUGACUUUAUGAGCCUUUCACUGUACUACUCAAUGCUAAGAUACAAAAUUACAUGGCUUAGAAGGAGAGGUUCUACUGUGUCUGUCCAGAUCACUUCUCAGCACUUUAUACCCCAACAUUUAGCCCAACUAGUCAACAAUUCUGACUGAGCACAGAAGUUCUUCCCUGAUGAUGGAGCUCUAAAAAGCCACUUGAUUCAAACCCCCUACCCUUCUUGGAUCUCACUUGAGAACUUAGAUGAGAAAACUGAAGGCCUGGAUGAUGACCUGACUAGUCCAAAGUCACAGAGGUAGUUAGCAAUGGAGCCCCUCCUGGCACCUUACGUAACUGAGCCUUUUCUGUUGGCCUCUACCACUAGUGAGCCAGAAGUUUACACAGGAAAAUUAAGUCAAAAUUGGACCCCAUCAUCCUCUCG